GUGCCAGCAGCCGCGGUAAUACGUAGGUCCCGAGCGUUAUCCGGAUUUAUUGGGCGUAAAGCGAGCGCAGGCGGUUAGAUAAGUCUGAAGUUAAAGGCUGUGGCUUAACCAUAGUACGCUUUGGAAACUGUUUAACUUGAGUGCAGAAGGGGAGAGUGGAAUUCCAUGUGUAGCGGUGAAACGCGUAGAUAUAUGGAGGAACACCGGUGGCGAAAGCGGCUCUCUGGUCUGUAACUGACGCUGAGGCUCGAAAGCGUGGGGAGCAAACAGGAUUAGAUAC
rnacentral:rRNA from 1 species